rnacentral:rRNA from 1 species
CUAGUAAUCGCGGAUCAGCAUGCCGCGGUGAAUACGUUCCCGGGCCUUGUACACACCGCCCGUCACACCAUGAGAGUCGGGAACACCCGAAGUCCGUAGCCUAACCGCAAGGGGGCGCGGCCGAAGGUGGGUUCGAUAAUUGGGGUGAAGUCGUAACAAGGUAAC